AGUUGGCAAAUAUGGAGAAGGGUCUACCACAAGAAAAAGCGGCACCUCUCUUGGACAAGCUUGUGUUUCACAAGAUAAAACAGGCACUAGGAGGACGAGUUUGUAUAAUGUUGUCUGGUGCUGCGCCUUUGCCCAGGCAUGUGGAGGAAUUUUUGAGGGUCACCAGCUGCAGCACUUUAUCACAAGGAUAUGGUAUGGUUGACCGAAAACACUUUAUCACAGGAAAAAGAAUAAAUUUAAACUCUCCCAAGGUGAAUAUGUUGCUGUGGAAAGCAUUGAAACCAGAUACUUGCAAUGCCCCCUUAUCACAUCGAUAUGGGUUUAUGAGAACAGCUUCGAGUCAUUUCUUGUUGCUGACAAAAAGGCCUUGGAGCCUUGGAGGACUGGGCAGCUGAGCAUCAUUUGACUGAUGACUACAAAUCAUUGUGUCAAAAUCCGAAGGCAAGAAAAUUCAUUUUGGAUGAGCUCAAUAGUAUGGGUCAGAAACAGCAACUUCAAGGGUUUGAGUUGUUAAAAGCAGUUCAUUUGGAACCAAACCCCUCAUGACUCCAACUUUCAAAUUGAAAAGACCGCAAUUACUCAAAUAUUACAAGGACCAAGUUGAAAAACUUUAUAGUGAAGCAAAGGGUGGAAAAGUAUAAGAACAGAGCUGCAAGCAACUAUUGGAUAAAUCUCGCUACAUCACUUUCCCAAAAUUUCGAUUGCCUGCUCUUUCGUUGAUGAAAAACUACAUAUGACUGUAAAAGAAUAUAUAGCCGGGAUUUACCCAUAUUGACCUUUGUUCUAA